rnacentral:rRNA from 1 species
AAUGAACGUUGGCGGCGUGGAUUAGGCAUGCAAGUCGAGCGAGAACCUUCAGCAAUGGAGGGGAAAGCGGCGAAAGGGAGAGUAACGCGUGGUUCAUCUACCCUCGGGACUGGGAUAGCCGCGGAAACCGCGGGUAAUACCGGAUAACGUCUCCGGACCAAAGGUGUGAGUCCGCCCGAGGAUGAGACCGCGUCCUAUCAGCUAGUUGGCGGGGUAAUGGCCCACCAAGGCUACGACGGGUACUGGGUGUGAGAGCACGACCCAGCUCACUGGGACUGAGACACUGCCCAGACACCUACGGGUGGGUGCAGUGGAGGAUGUUCGGCAAUGGGCGCAAGCCUGACCGAGCGACGCCGGGUGCGGGAUGAAGGCCUUCGGGUUGUAAACCGCUGUCGUAGGGGAGGAAGGCCCGGUGAAGAGCCGGGUUUGACCUAUCCUAGGAGGAAGUGUGGGCUAAGUCCGUGCCAGCCGCCGCAGUAAUAC